rnacentral:tRNA from 1 species
GGAGUUGUGGCUCAGUGGUAGAGCGCUUGCCUAGUAUGUAUGAGGCCCUGGGUUCGAUUCUCAGCACUGCA